GAUCCUAGUAGAAUUCCACAAUCAAGGAGAUUGAUCAUGACUUUCACAAUCCCUUCUUCAGCUAGAUUUUGUCUAACCUCUGGUACAACUGAUAUGUUCUUCAAAGUACAAGCAGCUGCAGCCUGUGAUACUGAAUCGCCAGUUCUACAAAUUUCAAUCAGUGGUCGAACUCCACCAUGUCCAACAAUUGACCUAGCUGUUUCUGUUGUCAUAGACAAUCUCUGGAGCGAGAUCGUAGCCUUCUCUCUGCCCACUGUGCUACCGGACUCGACAAGCCUUAUUAGAGGCGGCAAAACACCUUCAGAAACAAGCCAAUUCUCACAACUCCCAGAUUCUGCAAGCGAACAGAUUACAGUAACAGUCUUUUCCCGAAUACGAGGGGAGGUUGCUGUUAAUAGCUGGACCAGAGCAGCAAUAUUACUCCGGCCCAGAACAGCCAAAACGGUCUUGUCAUCCUCUUUCAUGACCUCAACG
rnacentral:misc_RNA from 1 species